rnacentral:rRNA from 1 species
AUUGAACGCUGGCGGCAUGCCUUACACAUGCAAGUCGAACGGCAGCACGGGUGCUUGCACCUGGUGGCGAGUGGCGAACGGGUGAUUAAUACAUCGGAACGUACCUUAUCGUGGGGGAUAACGCAGCGAAAGCUGUGCUCAUACCGCAUACGCCCUGAGGGGGAAAGCGGGGGAUCGAAAGACCUCGCGCGAUUAGAGCGGCCGAUGCCUGAUUAGCUUGUUGGUGGGGUAAAAGCCCACCAAGGCGACGAUCAGUAGCUGGUCUGAGAGGACGAUCAGCCACACGGGGACUGAGACACGGCCCAGACUCCUACGGGGGGGAGCAGUGGGGGAUUUUGGACAAUGGGGGCAACACUGAUCCAGCAAUGCCGCGUGAGUGAAGAAGGCCUUCGGGUUGUAAAGCUCUUUUGUCAGGGAAGAAACACCGGCUCUAACACAGUCCGGGAAUGACGGUACCUGAAGAAUAAGCACCGGCUAACUACGUGCCAGCAGCCGCCGCGG